GCAUAUCAAUAAGCGGAGGANNNNNNNNNNNNNNNNNNNNNNNNNNNNACUGCGAGUGAAGCGGGAAGAGCUCAAAUUUAAAAUCUGGUGGUCUUUGGCCAUCCGAGUUGUAAUUUAGAGAAGCGUCUUCCGCGCCGGACCGUGCACAAGUCUCCUGGAAUGGAGCGUCAUAGAGGGUGAGAAUCCCGUCUUUGGCAUGGAACCCCCGGGGCUUCUGUGAUGCGCUCUCGAAGAGUCGAGUUGUUUGGGAAUGCAGCUCAAAAUGGGUGGUGAACUCCAUCUAAAGCUAAAUAUUGGCGAGAGACCGAUAGCGAACAAGUACCGUGAGGGAAAGAUGAAAAGCACUUUGGAAAGAGAGUGAAACAGUACGUGAAAUUGUUGAAAGGGAAACGCUUGGAGUCAGUCACGUCGGCCGAGACUCAGCCUCGCCUWGGCUUGGCGUACUUCUCGACCGACGGGCCAGCAUCAAUUKUGUCCCUCGGAUAAUGGCAAGGGAAAGGUGGCACCCUUUUGGGUGUGUUAUAGUCUCCUGUCGAAUGCGAGGGGUGGGAUUGAGGAACUCAGCACGCGCCCACUCGGCGUCGGGGCUUCGGCCCACGUUUACGUGCUUAGGAUGCUGGCGUAAUGGCUCCAAACGACCCGUCUUGAAA
rnacentral:rRNA from 1 species